GACGAACGCUGGCGGCGUGCUUAACACAUGCAAGUCGAACGCUGAAGCCCUGGCUUUUGUUGGGUUGGAUGAGUGGCGAACGGGUGAGUAACACGUGAGUAACCUGCCCUCUUCUUUGGGAUAACGCCCGGAAACGGGUGCUAAUACUGGAUAUUCACUGGCCUUCGCAUGGGGGUUGGUGGAAAGGUUUGUUCUGGUGGGGGAUGGGCUCGCGGCCUAUCAGCUUGUUGGUGGGGUGAUGGCCUACCAAGGCUUUGACGGGUAGCCGGCCUGAGAGGGUGACCGGUAACAUUGGGACUGAGAGACGGCCCAGACUCCUACGGGAGGCAGCAGUGGGGAAUAUAGCACAAUGGGCGAAAGCCUGAUGCAGCGACGCCGCGUGAGGGAUGGAGGCCUUCGGGUUGUAAACCUCUUUCGCUCAUGGUCAAGCCGCAACUGUGGGUUGUGGUGAGGGUAGUGGGUAAAGAAGCGCCGGCUAACUACGUG
rnacentral:rRNA from 1 species